CUCACACCCGGCUCAAGAUGGCGGCGUCGGGGGACUCCAACUCCUGGGAGGCGGACGCAUUCUCCAUGGAAGACCCAGUGCGGAAGGUUGGGGGUGGCGGCACUGCCGGCCGGGACUGCCAAGAAGGUGAGGAAGAAGACAAGGACGUCAAGAAUAACUGAGAUGACGAUGAUGAUGAAAAAAAAGAGGAAGCAGAAGUAAAACCAGAGAUAAAAAUUUCAGAAAAGAAAAAAACAGCAGAGAAGAUAAAAGAGAAAGAACGGCAAGAGAAGAAAAGGCAAGAAGAAAUUAAAAAGAAGUUAGAAGAACCUGAAGAGCCUAAAGUGCUAACACCAGAAGAACAAUUAGCAGAUAAACUGUGGCUAAAGAAAUUACAGGAAGAGUCAGACCUUGAAUUAGCAAAGGAAACUUUUGGUAUUAAUAAUACAAUUUUUGGAAUAGAUGCUAUAAACCCAUCUUCAAGAGAUGACUUUACAGAGUUUGGAAAGUUACUAAAAGAUAAAAUUACACAAUAUGAAAAGUCACUAUAUUAUGCCAGCUUUUUGGAAGUCUUAGUUUGAAAUGUGUGUAUUUCGUUGGAAAUUGAUGACUUGAAAAAGAUUACCAAUUCACUGACUGUGCUUUGCAGUGAAAAACAGAAGCAAGAAAAGCAAAGCAAAGCCAAAACGAAGAAAAGUGUGGUUCCUGGAGGGGGAUUAAAAGCCACCAUGAAAGAUGAUCUGGCGGAUUAUGGUGGUUAUGAUGGAGGAUAUGUACAAGACUAUGAAGACUUCAUGUGACAUUUUAUCUUUUCCUGGUGUCAUCUUUAUGUUGCCCACAAUCCCUUGAACAUGUAACACAACUUACUUUCCUUUCAGUUCUGCCAAAUGCUACCAUCAGAA